rnacentral:rRNA from 1 species
UACAGAGGUCCCAAGCGUUGUUCGGAUUCACUGGGCGUAAAGAGCUCGUAGGCGGUCUGUCGCGUCGGCUGUGAAAACCCGUGGCUCAACCCCGGGCCUGCAGUCGAUACGGGCAGACUAGAGUGCGGUAGGGGAGACUGGAAUUCCUGGUGUAGCGGUGAAAUGCGCAGAUAUCAGGAGGAACACCGGUGGCGAAGGCGGGUCUCUGGGCCGAUACUGACGCUGAGGAGCGAAAGCGUGGGGAGCGAACAGG